AGAGGUGGGUUGGAGGUGGGGGGCUGGUGGGACCUGGUGCUGUAGGGAAUGGGAGCUGCUCUCCAGCCUUGGAAGUCACGGUUCCUCUGCUCCCUACAAAGCUCGUGGAGGUCAAAAAUAUUGCCCUCGGAAGAGGAAUGGGAAACACGGGGAUCAUCCUCCUGAGCAGCACCCUCAUCCUAUGAGGGCUUUGUGAUGGAAGAAGCUCUGCCCAUUUCCCCUCCCUUCUGCUGUUCUGUUGUGGCUCCUCCGCAGGAUUAAAAACAAUCACGAUAAAUCAGAAACCCUCCCUUGGUCUUGGAAAGAUGCUGAGAAUGGAAGAUAAGAGUUUAUCCAUCCUAAAUAAUAAUGCACUGGAGUUGCCAGCUCCCUGCUGGCUCGAUUUGCAUGACGCUAAAAAUCAAUGACCCAGGUGACUCUUUGAUGCACAGAGAAGUGAGUCCAAAGGACUCAGUGCUGGACUAUCCAGGGACAUGCACGAUGCUGGAAGCUAUUAACAGUGAGGACGUUGUCAUGGGCUAAACAUGCCCUGGAUUUCACACCAAUCUAACAAAGGGAGUUGGUUGCUGCAAGAGCUGAGCCUGGGCUGAUUAAAUCUUUGUUUAAGAGCUCCAGAGCUCCAUUACCUACAUCAGGAGGGAGUUAAUUAAACAAGGAAGGUGGGAGGUGGCAGCUGAUGUGGCUGAGGGCAUCUCUGCAGAGGCAUGGAGCUGCAUGGUGUGAGGUACAUUUGCUCACAGGACAGUGUGCCAGACAACAGCGAGCCUUCAUCAAAGCCUGUCUGGUCACGUUGGUGCUGUGCUUCUCAGGGAGGGAUGAGGUGUGGAGUUGCAUUGUCCAGCCCCUGCUUUUAAUUGCCUUCACCCCGGGGAUCUCUGGAAAUCAGCAUUUCCCAGCCUCUGGGUGCUCCUGGUUCCGCAUUGUGCCCUCAAAGCUGUCCUGCAGCACUGAUGGGGGCAGAGCAUGGGGUGUCUUCUGAUCCCAAAUGGCAAAUCCCCAUGUAAAUGGGUGUAGAGCGUUCACAUCCCCCUGUGCACGCUGGUGCAUUUGGUGCUGGCACUGCUGUGCUUGCUGGGGCUGCCAAGCACUCCUGCAAAUGAGUGCAAUUUUACCUGGCUCCACAUUCGAGGACCGCAGUGAUGGGAAAGCAGCGGAAUUCCCCUCCAACACCAAUAAAACAAGUUUCUCUCCAGGAUCUCCAUUUGUCAUUUGGAUAUUAGGCUGAC
ensembl:lncRNA